UACGGGAGGCCUAACCAUGCAAGUCGAGGGGUAACGGAAGUAGCUUGCUACUAGACGACGACCGGCGCACGGGUGAGUAACGCGUAUGUAAUCUGCCUUGUACAGAGGGAUAGCCCAGAGAAAUUUGGAUUAAUACCUCAUAGUAUUACUGAAUCGCAUGAUUUGGUAAUUAAAGCUCCGGCGGUACAAGAUGAACAUGCGUGACAUUAGCUAGUUGGUAAGGUAACGGCUUACCAAGGCUACGAUGUCUAGGGGUUCUGAGAGGAUGAUCCCCCACACUGGUACUGAGACACGGACCAGACUCCUACGGGAGGCAGCAGUGAGGAAUAUUGGUCAAUGGACGCAAGUCUGAACCAGCCAUCCCGCGUGAAGGAUGACUGCCCUAUGGGUUGUAAACUUCUUUUAUAUGCAAAUAAACCUACUUUCGUGAAAGUAGCUGAAGGUAGCAUAUGAAUAAACACCGGCUAACUCCGUGCCAGCAGCCGCGGUAAUACGGAGGGUGUAAGCGUUAUCCGGAUUUAUUGGGUUUAAAGGGUACGUAGGCGGUAAUAUAAGUCAGUGGUGAAAUCCUGCAGCUCAACUGUAAAACUGCCAUUGAAACUGUAUUACU
rnacentral:rRNA from 1 species